GUGGGGAAUAUUGGACAAUGGGCGAAAGCCUGAUCCAGCCAUGCCGCGUGUGUGAAGAAGGUCUUCGGAUUGUAAAGCACUUUAAGUUGGGAGGAAGGGCAGUAAGUUAAUACCUUGCUGUUUUGACGUUACCGACAGAAUAAGCACCGGCUAACUUCGUGCCAGCAGCCGCGGUAAUACGAAGGGUGCAAGCGUUAAUCGGAAUUACUGGGCGUAAAGCGCGCGUAGGUGGUUUUGUAAGUUGGAGGUGAAAUCCCCGGGCUCAACCUGGGAACUGCCUCCAAAACUGCAUGACUAGAGUACGGUAGAGGGUAGUGGAAGUUCCUGUGUAGCGGUGAAAUGCGUAGAUAUAGGAAGGAACACCAGUGGCGAAGGCGACUACCUGGACUGAUACUGACACUGAGGUGCGAAAGCGUGGGGAGCAAACAGGAUUAGAUACCCCUGUAGUCC
rnacentral:rRNA from 1 species